GUAAAAUUCCUAAAGAAAUUGUGCAAUUUAAGCCAGAGUUGCAUAGAAACUCCCAGCCCUCCCGAAAUGUUUGGGCAGUCUCCUUUGUUACUUUCCAUGGGGCGCCAGUGCAGAAUGGCUGGAGGAGCAGUCAACGUGACACGAGGUGUGUUGACACCGAUUUCACAAUAUAUCCUUUAUCAUUAAGGUGCUGUGCUUUUGGCUGCUCCUGAGGCUUGGAGAGAGCUGGAAGGAGCAGCAUGAUCCUGGCAAUCCCUGUCCGUUCACCCUGUUCCCUCCUGGAGCCCAUCUGCAGCAGCCUCUGUGGAGGGACAGCUCACGCUGAAACGCAGCCACCCCCCUUCCACAGCCACACGCAGAGAAACCAAGGUGGGCAAGGAGAUGUGGGCAGCCUGUGGCUGGACGUGGGCCUGAGCGUGUGUCACCAGGCACCAGGCUGGAGCACAGAGGAAACCUCCCAUCAUUUCAAACAAAAAAAUGACUUUUUUUUAAAAUGAAGAGCCAAAUCGGCAACAUUUUGCAACACAAAUGGCUGAAGUAAUCAUUACCAAGCAAACAAACAGAGAUAGGAAAGGGGCAGGGAGAAGAAUCUAGGCAUUUUAACAUUUUUUUUUUUCAUGGUUUGAGGUCUCGUAGCUGAAUCCAAGCCAUACUUUCAGGUGAUGCUGGAGCAACUGAGUGGCUUGCAUGUGGGGACUGGUGAGACCAACAGUGCUUCUCGUUCACCCUUGUGUUUCCUCCGCUCUAGUAGCCCUGGCAAACAUUUUGCAAUGCUGUGUGUCCCUGUUUAUAAGUGCCGGUAAGGGAUGGUGAUGUUUAUGCCAUGGAAACAGGACUUUUAUCUGCCUCGGAUGAGCAUUUAGAGGAAAAUUUCCCUGGAAAACGAGGUUUGCUACCCUUUUCUGUCCCUUCUGCUUCCCGGGCACACAGGGCCCGCAGCCUCUGCUGGGAGCUGGCCCCUCUGCCUUGCUCGGUGAGUGUUGGAGCAGGGGCCGCAGCCGGCUCCUGGGCCAGCAGAGGGGUGCACGGCCACCCCCAUCAGCUCCUGGCACGGGAGCAGAGCCAAGGGGA
rnacentral:lncRNA from 1 species